rnacentral:rRNA from 1 species
GACGAACGUUGGCGGCGUGCUUAACACAUGCAAGUCGAACGGAAAGGCCUGCUUUCCCUUGUGGAUUGCGGGUACUCGAGUGGCGAACGGGUGAGUAACACGUGAGUGAUCUGCCCCCAACUUGGGUAUAAGCCUGGGAAACUGGGUCUAAUUCCCGAUAGGACUGCAGGGUGGUGCCUGUGGUGGAAAACGAUUUUCUAGUGGUUGGGGAUGAGCUCGCGGCCUAUCAGCUUGUUGGUGGGGUAACGGACGACCACGGCGGCGACGGGUAGCCAGCCUGAGAGGGUGGACGGCCACAUUGGGACUGAGAUACGGCCCAGACUCCUGCGGGAGGCAGCAGUGGGUAAUAAUGCACAAUGGGCGGAAGCCUGAUGCAGCGACGCCGCGUGGGGGAUGACGGCCUUCGGGUUGUAAACUCCUUUCGACCGCGAGGAAGCCACCUGGUUGGAAGGGUGGUGACGGUAGUGGUAGAAGAAGCACCGGCUAACUACGUG